UUUCAUAUUGGUAGUAAGACCAUCUCCAAUGGUUUAUUCUAUUUUGAACUCUAAAAUAGAGUAACUCUAUAAUAGAGUUUGAGUUUGUUCCAAUGGUACUCUAUUUUAGAGUAGAAAAUAUAGAGUGAUGAACAAAAUAAAAAAAACAUGUUACUCUAUAUUUGGAGUAACCCGAUUUUCACUCUAUUAUAGAAUGAAUAAUAGAGUACUAUUGAAACAUUUUUACUUUAAAUUAUAUUUUAUUGUGGAAAAUAGAGUGGAGUUAGAGAUAUUCUAGCAAUUUAAGAACUACAAAUCCGUUAGAGGAUUAUUAUGUUAAUUAAGGCUUUGAAUGUUUACAACCGCCCCGCCCCGCAUCGCAGUUAACAGUAACAAAAAUCUCUAUAUAUACUAUAUUUAAUAUUUUUAUACGUUUUUAUAACUGUUAAAACCGCACCGCAGUUGAACCGUUUGUCCCGCACCGCUCAAACCGCAAUUACCUUUCGGAACCUAAGCCUUAAACAUAACCCGUGUUACCAAAAAAAAGAAAAAAAAAAGAGAAUAAGAAAACCCUUAAACAUAGGAAAUUCAGCGAUAUAGAAGUGUAAGCGAAUUUUUUUUUAAAUGUAAACGAUUUUUUUUUUAAAAAGUGUAAGCGAUUAAAAAAAAACAAAUGUUGGUCGAUCCAAGCAAAGCUUACUUAACUUUAUGUGAAAAGGCAUAACAAAAAAUAAUACUAAAAUAAUAAUAGGGGAAGAGGGACUCCGGGGAAGAGGGAUAGACAAGGAGACCUGCUUCCCGGCAAAGACGGGCUGUAACCUUCUUUUCCAACUGCAUCGGCCCCACCACCCACAUGCCUUCCAUGAUAUUCUUUUUC
rnacentral:lncRNA from 1 species